rnacentral:pre_miRNA from 1 species
CUUUGAGUAUAAGUAUGCCCCUUGCAAUAUCUGGGACAUACUUAUGCUAAAA